UGCGCACACAUCACUCAAAGCUGAACAAUUACCUCCUGCACCAUGGACAUACUGUGAGCACCCAGCAAGUGAGGGCGUUUGCCUGCAACUGUGGCUUGCUACCUGGCAGGGCUGUGGGGGAGUUGUGAGGGACUGUGUGGUAGCAGACACCAGGCAUAAGCCCUGGGGGAGCAGGGAGCUGCCUCAGGAUCAGCAAGCUGGGGCAGGACUACAAACAGUGGCUCAGCCCCACUGCCCCUCCUUGCUGUCCCUCCCACAGAGGACAUGGGGGGGGGAAGUAGAGAAACAGAGCAGGUGUGUGGUGAUGGCCAGCAGGCAGUUGGCAGGCCCUGCUGCUGAAGGUGGCUGUGUGAUGGCCUGUGGGUCAGCCACCCAGGUUUCUUCUCCAUCCCAAAGCAGUGGAGAAGCGUUUGGGUGCCAGCUCACUGUGGGCAGCACAGAGUGACAGCUGACCUAGUAGUGUGGCCCUUUUUGAGGGUCUCCUGCAGCCUGGGCCCUGCGGGGCCAUAGCCUGGGUGAGGCCUGUGGACUGGAGGACUGUGCUAUCCUGCUUGGAAGGUAGCACAGAACUGUGGUAGUUCUAGCAAGCUAUUUAUCCAAGCUGUGUUUUUUCAGCAACGGUAUUUGUAUGGAAACCACUAGGUCACAGCCUGACACAGUGAUUAAGCACCUGGUGAUGGGGCGUAGCCAGCCCUGCAAGCACAGGUGCAAGUAGUUUACCUUGUGACUAGAAUGGGUAGGCCCUGGCUCCCCCCUCCCCAGCCUCAUUUAACGGCUGGCCACCACCAGGGAAACAUCUCUACUUGGAGGCCAUCUCUGCUGGAGUGUUUGAGGAGUCCUGAUCUUCAGAAAGUGGUGUCCUGCUGUUUGUGACCAGAAGUUUCUUCCACUUCUGAGAGACAGAGGCUGAGGGAUCCUGCGGGUUCCUGCGCACACGGCCGCGCCGCAGCUUGCAGAGCUGGGCUGACUGCGCUUGGGCAGAACACAGCUGGGCGAGGACUGUGAAGAAAGAGGUCACCAUCUCUUGGGAAGCAAAAGCAAGUAGCUUUUCCAAGUAUCCCACGGUUGAAAUGCAUCCACCUGAUGCUGCCAGGAAUACAUGCAAGCACGGAAUUCAGUGCUGAGAGUUCACCUGCUGGGAUGGGAAGCGGUGAAGAAAAUCCUAACGCUGCCUGAAAUCAUCACGAGUCACGGUGGACAACGCAGACAAGUUUUACCUUGUGUAACCACGCAGCAUAGUACCAAUGUCACAAAAACAUCAAGUGAUUCGAAAGAAAAAACCACAAAAGCCACCAAACAAGCCUCCCCCACCUGCCCACAGACAGGGAUCGAGGAAGACAAGGCCAGCUCCUCUUCUGGCUCAGCUCCACCAGCUGCAGCAGGAGGCUGGAAGCCAGACGUCCAGCCAACACACCCGGCUGCACCACCAAUGCCACUCCAGUCUUGCUUCCCAUCUGCAGAAUGGUGAUAAUGUUUAUAACCUCCUACGUCCAAGAGAAAUCACAAGGUGAACGCUAAUGCCCAGGCAUGAUGAAUAAGUGAUUAAUGUCAGCAGAGCACAAUCAGAAAAACAGCCUAAGCAAUCUUGCACUUCAGUGCUGUUUUAAAUACAUUUGUAAAGUGGAUUCACCUGGUUCACCUACACUUCUUUCAGAAUGCAAUUAAUAACGAAACAAUUACUUCAAAUUAUUAGAAUAAUUACACCUAUGCAUAUGCAUACAAACGUAAUGUACACAGCAGGGCUGGGUAAAUGCUGCAUGCAUAUUUCUAUAUGAAGAGCGUUCACGCAUUCCUGUUUACACAAAUAUAUUCCACAUCUAAAUGUGUCAUAUUCUAACCAGGGCUACAUUUUUCCUUCAAGGCCUUUUUUUUAUUAGCCCUUUUAGAAAUUGAUAUUUACCCUGUGUAUUAUACAGCCCCCAGGCAAACUCAGACUGCAUAGCUAGCGGAGUGGAUUAUAUAGCUACACUUGAAGUGAGCCUUGCACCCAGGGGACUGGCAAAAUAUUGUGCCGAGUAGUGCCAGGGCCAUAAGUAACAAUUACAAAUAUCCAGUAUAAUGGAUUCUUUUAACUAGGAUUGCUUUGAAGUUCCCAGAAGGAUUUAAUAGGAAGAAAAGUACGACCUUGCCAGUUCCCCAGAGCACACUGGGAUUUGAAGAAGGGUUUUCUUUAAGCAAAAGUCCAUUUAGCUUAUAAGGAUUUCAAGUACUAGCUGCCACCAGAGGUGUAGGUUUUUAGCUCAUCUUAUUUUUUUUUUUUUUGAGAAUAGAAAAUGUAUCUGAUAGGAAGAAUAAUAAAGACAGUUCUUGGGUGAGAUAAUGGCAUAGCAAGAGGAAAUCAGCUCAGGUCAAAGUGGAAGCGACCUGGCAUUUUUAUAGCCUAAGAUGGUUUGUUAGAGUUUGAGUAGAUAAAAUAUGUUUGCAUUGUUGUUCUGCAGAUGUAUUAGAUUGAGACCAAUAGGCUCUUGAAUUUUUUUCUUGAUAGGGAUGUGAAAAUUCUAAGCUCAGCCAACGUAGAGAAAGCAGUUGUAUUAGAUGGAUGCUUGCCGCACAGUACAGAGCUGGAAAAUUCUGACUUCAUUUCCAGUCAGUAGAACAAUACCCAUUAAUUUCAGUGAAGCAGGCUCUACCGGGCGAAUCCCAGGAAGGAUGGGGUGCUUCUCGUACUGAUCGCUCUAAAACCCCCAAAUGAUGUAAAGAUCAAUUUGCAAAGUCAGGAUGCACCAUUGCUCUUAGCACUCUCCUCUUGAGCAAAAGCAAAGAUUGAAUCACGUAUCUGGAAGUUGGGCACGUUUUCGUACGGUGCACUGGGUAAGUAAUGAAACCUCUCUCGCACACUGGCUUUGAAGUCACACUUCCCUAGCACAAGGGGAAAGUAAUACAGGUGUACGUGGGAGGUAGUUCUGCCUAACGAUGUAGGGCAGCCCUUACACAUCCCCAACUUUGCUCUCUGGACAGCAAACGUAAACUGUGCAAAGACAAGCGAGGAAAAAACCCUACAGAAUGUGGCACAAAACAUACACUGCUCAUUUUUACGACAGUUUAGUGGUGAACUCCACUCUCAAGUUGCACGUCUACAGACCAGAGCGGCAUUGCGCUGUGUGGCUGAAAUCCUGCUCCUGCCAGAGUCACGGGGAAAGCACCUGCUGGCUCCAGCAAAGCCAGGAUUGCUCACAGUAAAAGUUUACAGUACAGUAUAAAAUUACUGUGCAAAGUUAUUGGCUUCCGACAGUGUUCCUAUUGCAUUUUUCCACCUGGACGAAGGGAGCACUUUGUGUUUCUCAAGCUGUGCUGUAUCAAGCCAAGCCCUCCUCCCUGCCAGCAGCCAAACCACCGGCAGCACCUCGGGGCCAGCUGCCCUUCCUGCCAAAGCACCAUGUCCUGAUGGGAGACGUGCAUACAGCAAGAGUAAUGCUGAGUGCUAUGGGAGAUUUACUCCUCUGAAGAACAUUAUAAAGAUACGUACCUGUAUUAAUUCUUAUCAAAUCUAAAAAUAGGCUAUAAAUGGAAUAUGAGAGACAUGUUCCCCCUUUGCAACAGCGAGAAUAUAAUCAUUUAUGAAUAUUUACCAAUGGAAGUGAGAGUUCUGUGGAAACACACAAAAGCAUGUCAUUUAUUUCUCUGCUUCUGAACUGCCUAUGCUGAUAACACUGUCAGAGUCAAUAAACUCCUUUUGUUAAGCUGGAAAGAUGAUCUAAACUAGCUGCAGUGACAGACACUGCUUUCAGCCUCCUCAGGACUGUGCUAAAAGAUAAUUUUUAUCAGCCACACCUUCGACUACUUUGCAAGAUAUUAUUAAGGUAGAUGCCUUCAGAGACAGACUCGGAGGCUGUUGUCAGUGUUAAUUUUCCCAUCUGAGCUGUUACAGGAAAACAAGACUUUGUGUCAAAGAACAGAGCCAGACAAAUAACAUUUACAGCUUGAAAAAGCAUCAUGUUUUUGCCAGAAAGAUGCCUGUAAGACUGAGAUUUUGAGUCAGGUAAUAAGAUUGCAAUAGAAGAGGAUUAGUUUUAUCCUCCUAAAUAAAAGCGCAAACCAACAAAAUAUUGUACCACCGAAGAACAUCAAUCUUGAGCAUGUUUGGCAGCACCUGCCUCCUAUCUCCUACUUGUUCAGCUUUGCAGAUAAAAACUUCUGGGUCAGGUGAGGUUUGAAAGUGUCUGCAAUACCGGGCACCGGGAUCAAAGAAUAAACAGCAGAAAGCCUUAUCAGUGCUACCAGCAAAUGAAAGAUUGCAGAGAGGCUUUAAGAAGACCUAGCAGGAAGAGCAGUCAUGACUCGCUGGAGCAUUUAUGCACUUAGAUAGGAGAUGCAGCUAAGGGAUGGGGUGAGGGAACAGAACCCCCCGACCUGCACAGCUAGGGCAAGAAGGAGCAAGCGGGCAGGGCCGCUCUCCAGGCAGCACUCGCUGCCUGAACCUUCCCACACCACAUUCGCAGCGCUCCUCUGCUGGCAGCGGUGCCCCAGCCCCACCACAGAGCAGGACGGGAGCUCAGGAAACGGACUGCCAAAUCUUUAUGAGAUGGUGGCAGGGAAGAAACAAAUCUGAUUCACAUCGCUCUUUAAUUGGAGCUGACGGUACAGAAAACAAACCCAUUUCAACUACAAGUAAAAUGCUUCCGUUUGAAUGCUGUUGACUGGAAAGAUAAUGAAUAGUAGCAAAUUAUUUUCACCUGCUUAAAACAAAGCAAUUAAUAAUACUUUGGUUAUCUCACCUGGAAAGCCAGGCUCUGCUGAGAGCUGUUAAAGCCGAAUGUGAAAACAGUUUGCAUGAAACAUAAUUAAAACUAUGACCUGAGUGAUCUUCUAAGAUGUCUCAAAGGAGCCCUGAGUCAGUGCUGUAAGAAAUGAUUCCUCUCUGCCGCCAUUCUUCCUGAUGCUGUUCCAGCUGGUUCCCACACAGACCAUUCCGUCCUGCCCAGAGGAAACAUUUCUGAUGCUCUUGCCCAAGAAGCACCUUUUCCAGUCAGCCUCCAUCCUGGGAACACCUCAGCACUUCUCCAUGCAGAUCAUUUCCUUUCUUACUGCCACAUUCAGUAAAUACAGCUCUCCGUGUCUAGCAAAUUGGAUUCAUUCAAUGAUCAAACCAUUGAAAAUACUUCUGUAAUUAAUCAUUACGCUUAAUAAAAAUCAAGAAAAUCAGAAUGCUGUGCAGUUGCUAAACAAGUGGAAUACAGGAUUGAACAACAUGCCCUUAUUUUUUCUAAAGAAACCUAUAGUCAGUAAUGGGUUUCGUACUGAGUCAGAGUACAACGGUGUUUUCUCUUUACUCUGCUAACGAGUUACAAAGGACUCCAUUACCUGCACUAGCUUUCCCAGCUCUCCUCCUGCCUGCUGCUGUCUUAUCCCCCGGGCAGCCCCCUCAGCACAGUGGAUGUGUCUGUCUGCACAGCCAACACCAGAAGGCUUGCGGGGACCUGGCUUCAAACAAAGCCAUCCGUUUCCACCAAACAGCUGAGGUGCUCACGGAGUCAAAACCUGACUCAAGAUCUGGAAAUGCAUGCCACUGUUUCGAUAGAAAAAAGAAAAUAAGAUGACACCCGAUGAGAAAAGUUUUGCAGAAUUUGGAUUUUGGCUCAGGUCAGUCUCCCCAUCAAUGAGCUGCCCCUUGUGCCAUCACGCACAUCCCUCAGCAAACACAACCCUGCACCUGAUGAACGUGACAAGGAAACCAGGCAACGCAUCAAGGCGGAUCAACUGAGACACUGCUUCACGUUAAAAAGAAACAAAAAAACACAGCACUUUAAAUAAUAUUCCCUUAAUGCUUUAGGAUUCAGCACGCCAGCUUAAAAUACACACAUGUAACCACGUUAAACCGCAGGCCUCUUGGCAUGAAGAAUACGUACAGACUAACGAUACUUUCACAGAGAAUGUGAGGAUGUGUGCAUUUGUUAGUCUGCCUGGACAUGUGGGGUAUGCUGUACUGGAAAGCAAAAGAAGACACGUGCACAGCACCCACAGCCCCUGUUCCUCCCACACAAGUGCUCUGAACGACUUCGGUGCCAGGGAAAGCACUGCCCUGCCCCUGCCUUCAGCCUGGCCUGCUCCAACUACUUGGCACGGAGCUGCAGGUGACAAACAUCUUAAUAGAAAAAUCAAGGAUAUUCAUGAAGUGCAAAGAGGCUAAGUUCACUGGAAGAUUUAUUCAUGCUGUAUAACUCUGUAAUACCAAGUGUCUAACAAAAUGAUGUUUUGAGCUGCAUGGUUCAACAGCACCAUUUCACUGCAAUCAACAUUUUAUUUUUUUUGCAGAAAGUCUUGAUUUCAAAUAUCUUGGAAAUGUUUAACAGCUGAUAUUAGUAAGAGCACAGAUUUAAUGCAAGGCUCUUUAUCCUGCCGACACGAUAAGCAUCGUGACAAGGGGUGUAACUAUGGCAACUAUUUCCCCCUGUUUUCCACGGAGCUGCAAGAGCAGACGUCUCGCUCGAUGCAGUGCCAGAUGUCCCCAGUUAAGCCUCGGUGCUGAGUUACAGAGCAGUCACCGAGCAGAACCGCAGACCCCAGGGCUGGAACACCUUCCUUUUCUAUUUCGUGUUUCAGCUGUGUUUCAUGGGCAUUUACAUGUAUUUAGUCAUGAGUCUAAUUCUCUUCCUUUUUAUGCACUAUGGUUGGAAAGCAAAAAUGUACCUCCUUUCUUUCACUGUCAGAGUUCAAAACAAACGGACUCAUCCCAAAGUCAAAACGCCUUUUUCUUGAAGAAAAGGAUGCUCUCCUCUUUAAUGUAUCAACAUACACUGCUGGAAAGAGACACACACAUUUCCUUCCCUGAAGCUAAUAAAGAGAAAAAACACCAAUGCUUUGCAGAGAUGCUGGAUGUGAAAGUGGUGCAUAUUUGCAAUAAGAGAGAUGCACUGAGAAAGGCCAAUUUCUCAUAUGCUAUUUAUUUGUUUUCUUACUGGCCCCAAAAAACACAAACAAAACCAGGCCCCUUCUGCACAAAUAUAUUCUCUGUUUGCUAUCUGUGUCAACAUAAAAUAAUAUCUAUCUCAUUUCACAGCACAGCUCUGUGUCAGUGACAAACGCUGCGCUGUACCUUCCGUUCUUUUUACUCAUGUGCUCCUCCAGCUCAUCAGCACUGCCAUUUCCAGGGUUUGUUUUUCCCAAGGAUGACAAUAUCUAUCAAUGCUUGAGUAAAAUCACCAAAGAUACACAGCUGCACGCAGGAACCUGCUUGGACAAUGCUAUCUGUCUAUUGUGGAAGCAAACCAGAAAUUUUUGAUGGCAGUUCUUCAACCAGAGGAACGGCAGCUAUCACAAACACGGGUACUUUGGUUUUUUUCCCCCUGAUUCUCUGCCCCUCCUGCUGGGAAGGGGGAGUGAGGGCUGUGUGGUGCUGAGCCACCCGCCGGGUUAAACCACUACAAACAUGCAAAGGUAAAGUGAACACUUAAAGUGGUUCUUAAGGUUGUCUUUCAGUUCAUCUGGCAAGAUUGGGGUCAGAUUUGUGCUUACAAACAUUUAUAACUGAUAUGAGCAUCACUGACAAUCUCAGAGCCUAAGUGCUUCCAUCACGUAUGACUUGCAGUGUAAAGCAGUACAAAAAUCUGACACUGAAUUGAAGUGAUAAUGGUUUGCAAUAUAAUUAAGACGACUCAACCAAUAAGGACUAAAAGCAUGGCUUAGGUUAGUAAAAAUACCUCUUAUAAAGGAUCCAGACAGACCUGCACGUGGGAAGGACAUCUGUCUGAAGAGAAGGAAGCUGCAGUGUGCUCCCCACACGGAGCCUGAUGGACUUGGUGCAAACCAAGCAAGGAGACACGGCUGUCCCAUGGACAGGGCUUCCUUGCACCUGGUUGGAAUCACCUGUCCAUGGCCAGGCCUUUGGUAAAAGAAACACUGACAAGCUACUUGGCAGCACUUACAGUCCCAUCACAGACAAGACUCCUUUCUUUUGGUGAGCAUGGGCUGCGAGGAGCCUGAAGCUUUGCUUCCAGCUCAGGUGCCAUCUCCAGCAGCAAACCCAGCAGGGACCCAUGGGGUCCCACAGGAGGUGAACCCAGAGCAGAGCCUUUCUCCCUCUCCUCCCUCCGUGGGCAGCCCCAUGCAGCCAGCAGCCUGCCCCGCCGGCUCCACACACACAGGUGCCCUCUGCUCUCUUUCUACAGGGAGGAAGAGGAGGUGAGUGCCCUCACACCACAUCGGCUCGUGGGGACUUUUGUUGACUGAACUCCACUGCCAAAUCUGCUCAAUCCUGUUCCUUCAGUGACAGCUACGAUCAGACCUCCUCCUUAUACCGGAGGGGAAAACAAUUUAAGUCACUCAUUUAAUACAGGUUUUGCACCUAACCUUAUCAUCCAUAUAGAUUUCAUCACAAAUGUAAGUCACUCACUUCUAAACCAGAUGUUAGAUGUCCUUAAAAUAAUUCAUAUCACCGUCCUUCACUCCCCGCAGCAUGUGACAGCUGCUGCGGUGCCGAUGGCUGCAAACCAUUUCACAGGAACAGAAGCAGAGCUGCUUCACGGACGUUUUAAUUCAGCACAGAAUUUUUUAAGGAGAAGCAAAAGAGGAAAAACAUCUUGCCUUGGCAAACAGGAGGAUAACAUGUGUGUCCCAGGGGGUGUGUUAAUAGCUGCCAUUGGCCAGAGCUGAGCAAAAUGAAAUGUGUAAGUGAAGAAAUCCCUCACCAGCACCACCGAGCUGCAGGUAACUGAGUUACACCAGAGAACGGCCACUGAGCAUCCAAUUUAAGCACUGUCGCUGCACUUCACAGUCCAUUGGAAAUAUUCCCAGGGUACUGCAUCUCAAGCAUCCCCUGAAGGCCUGUCCUUCCUCCUCUCUGCAUCCCAGGCCCUGACGCUGGGCUGCUGUUAUCUGAAAUGGGUCUGCACCAUCAGUCGGCGACGGCUACUCGUGAAUAACAAUGCUAAAUGCAAUUAACGGACUGCAGUAACUACAGACAAACUCAAAUGCUGCAAAACAAAGACAUCGCACUCGAAAAUCACCAAUUGCAAAUGAGAUCAAGGAAAUCUGCAAAGAUUCUAAACCGGAAAGUCUGAAAUUUAGCUUCCUUACUACUUCUGAACCCACGGCAAAGUACAAAGCUCAGUAGAUAUGUCCUUCCAUCUUUGGCUUAGUGGCUGUUAACUGUUCUCUCCUAAAAUCUCUUUUCUAGCUACUUCCAGUCAAACUACCCACACUUUCACCCACAGUGGCCACAUAACAUUGUGCUUCUAUGUUAGUCAGUCACUACUGGGCUUGGAAGGUCCUUAUAUCCCGUCGGGUUUUGCACCGAGGUACAAAACAAGCUGCUCUUGGGAACAGUUACACUGUAUUCACAGCAGAAACAAUACUUACAGGAGUGCAGUCCUGAAAGCUGCAAUGCGCAAUUGUAACGCUUCCCAUUGCCUGGGUGGAGGAGAGAAGAAACAGGCCGCAAACAUUCCCUGUCCAAGUCCGGGGCAAUUUUGGUGCUUUCAGAGAGAUUAGGCUGAGAACGCCCGGUCUUAUUUCAUAAGCCUACUUCUUUUUCUUUGAAACACCUCAUCAAUUUCACUGUGAGGAUGGGAGUGCACAUAAGAGACUGCAGCAGCUCCCGCGUGAGAGCAGCAGCAAGGCAGGCCUGCCCCGGAGCCAUCCGCCCUCCUCAGGAGGAGGAGGUUCAUUAGAACUACAUGGAUGACAAGAGAGCCAAACAUCCUCGUCUUUUCACCGGUAUUACAACUUAUGAAUUUGAAACAUUCUCCCAGAGAGGAUGUAAGAAUUGAUAGAUUAGUCAAAGGGAUAACGCAGCACUGCUAAGAGUUAAUCAGGCAAGAAGGGAGAGCGGGACUGGGCCGCGAGGUGUAACAAUGUAUAUGCAAAAUCUGCAACCUGCUCUUCUUCCAAAUUUCCUGGGAGAAAAGAUCACAGAAAAGGACAAACAAGGGAACCGAAGAGGAAUACGAAUGCUAAUAAAAGAAUUAAUGCCCAUCUGUGUCUCAAAGAUAUCUAUCUAGCUGCCUACCUUUUUAAUAAUCAAAGCAUCUACAGUCAAGAAUAAUGUGUACAACUCGCACUGUUCAAACCUCACACUAUAAGGUGAUCACUGAAGUACAUAAAGAAUCCCAUUCUUUUUCAGUGGAAACAGACCGACACCUUCUCGCCUCUUUGCGGUCUUGUAUCAUAGAAGUCACGAAAGGCGUGAGUCAGUCUGCAAAAUGAUCGCUCUGGGAGCAUGCAAUGGCGCAGACAUAUUAAAGCACAUCAUCAGAGCCAGGUAUUCUGCAGCGCCGCAGGACAGGCCCGGUCCUCGUGCAUGCAGUCAGAGGGCCUGGCACAGGCUGCAGGCGUUGUGCCCACCUGGGUGCUGCUGGCUCCCGGCGUCCCCCGGCACCUGCCAGCUCUGCACCGGCACACACACAGCUUCUCCAGCGAGAUUUCCUGCCCACAUAAUAACACCGAGCAAAAUAAAUCUCGUAAGUAACUCAAGUCCAACAAUGCUUGAAGCCAAAAAGACAAAACUUGGCUUCCCCGGGCCUGUCUUCAAGUCUCAUUCGAGCAAUAGUUGCACUGGAUUUAUUUCGGAGAGGUUUUAAAGGAAAUCUUUAAAUACCUCAGACUUCUCUCAGCCAUACGAAGUGCGGUGAUGGCAUAAGAAAUAUUUAUUCACCGCAAUGGGUACCCUUCAAAUCUUGAAACAUCAGGAGAGGAGUCCAACUUUGCACUGCUGAGGAGAGUAAUUGCAAACUCACUUGUAUCACUCAUAAGAUGUUUAGAGAGAGAAUAAUUCCAGGCACAGUCUGGCUGCUGGGCAGCAGAGUGCUGCCAUGGAUGUACAAAAGCUGAAGGAAAACAUUGAACCAAAUCGAUAUUGAGAAUGGGUAAAAACUGAAAUGCAAACUGAAUGUGCAAAGUGAAUGGGGGGGAAGGGAGCGAUGGGAAAGGAGGUACGUGCUCAGAACAGAAGUUCUGCUUCUUUCUCUUUGUUAAAGAGGGAACCUCAUCGGAUGUAGCUGGGCUCAGAAAAUAUGUGCAACUGCAUAAGUAAUUUUGGGAAGAAAUGCUUCCAUUUCAGUUCCUAGCUGGAAUUUGCAAAAGUAUGGGAGUGCCAGGGCUGGAUAAAGGAGCCCUGCUUGCAUCUCUCGGCCACAGGCAUGUCUGUAACAGGUCCUGACCACUCCAGAGGCAGCUCAGGAGAAACAGCACGUGCUGAUUGUGAGAACAGAGAGAAAAAACAUUUCUGAGCUGUGAAAAAUUGAAAAAAGAAAAAUUGCCUGCAGUCUGCAGCGUGGCACAACAGCAGAAAAUCUGUCUUAUUCAAAGAUGCAUAAAAACAAGAAUUAAGAUCAAUAAUAUUAAAAAGAUUUUAAACUUUGUUAAUGCAAAUGACAAUACAGUCUGUUACAAAAAAAAACAAACCAUUUUUGCUAAGUCUUUCACAGAUGCCAGCAUUCUGCAGUCUCCUAGCAGGUAGGAAGGACAGCCUGGCCAUGGUUUGAAGGAACGACAGACAGAGCACAGUGCUGGGCACUGCACACAGUGAGGAGUCACCCCAGCCCUGACCCUGCAGCGAUGCAGCUGAGAUGCAAUAGAUGUUCCCCAUAUCCCAUUUGUUGCCCAGUUCUUUGUGCCACGUCCAAACCAACUGAAAAGAGCAGUUCAAGGAUCAGUUAAGAACAACAGGAAAAAUACUCAGGUUUUGCAAUAAAAAGUAACUGAAACAAAACUGCAAAGCUACUGCAGAGGAAUCAACUUAUGACCCCCAAAUCAAGUUUCAAUAGUUCAGUAGUUCAGAUCGAUAGUUCAGAACGCUUAUUUUCCUAAGCUAGAAGAAAUGGGGGAAGGCCAUGUUAUUCAAGAACAGAACCUUCUCAGAAGGGGGUAAAAAAAAAAAAAAAAAAAUUACCCCCCAAACUUGCUAAAUAAGGAGGUUAAUUCGUUUGUGCAUUUGAUGCCUGAGCCCCUCAAGCAUGAAAUCUUAUCAUUUGGAAUCCAUUCUCCAGGCGGAGUUCUGCAGCCAAUGCACAGAAGAUGCUUGUUUGGAUGCAACUGUGCCAUGCUUACAAAGUGAGCAUAUCAUUGCUAGGAGAAAUUUAUGAUAAAUGUUUAUUUCUCAGUAAGUUAUUCUAGAAUAUAAAUAGAUGCAGUGAAGACCUGUCAAAGUCUUUCACUUAUCAAUUUUCACUGCGUAUUCUCAUUUCUUAGCAGUCUCACUGAACAGAAAAUCCUUCAAGUGAGGUUAAACACAGAGCACUAUUCCUUGGGAUGAAACAUGCGGGAUUUAAAAUGAAAAUGAUGCUUCAAUCUAGAAAAUAAUGGCUCUGUACUGCAUGCUUGUAGGGUGGGAUGAGCUCUGGAGCAUCCCGCAGUUUGGACACGAGGCUGCCAGGUCCCGAGCUGCUGCUGGCCCUGCGGGGUGCACGGCCCAGGGGCAGCUCGACCUGUUUGCCUCUUGCAGCACAAGCAGAUUGGUUUGCAAUCAUGUCAUGGCUCACAUCAUUAUCACGCAGUCUGAGCCAUGGCACGUGUAUCCCAGAAGAAGCACAACCGAGAAAUGUUCCGUGGUGCUGCACACACCUCACAAACGAUCCCAGCACUUUGCAAUCACCAUGGAAAUUCCUCUGCAUACAAAUUCAGCAAAAAAAACCCAACAAAACAAAACAAAAAAACCCACCAGGUUAUAAAGCA